UUAAACAGCGCUUGAGCUAAAAAGGCGCUGUCAAAACAAACGGGAUGAAAACAUUUACCUGCGCGCCGAGCGGCUAAUUUGAAUAUGUUUACACAAGCGCUGCUCAUUUCUCGCUUGCGCGUGCAUUAAUUCCAUUAUUUAUAAACGCUCGACGUGUCUCGUCGUCUGCAUAAAUAUAAAUCGUCGGCUUUUCUCAUUCCCGCGAGCUGCACCGCACAAUUGUGAGUUCAGGAAAAAAACUCUCCGCGCAUGAAUAGUGAAGAAGCAGCGAUUGUAACGAUAAUUUUCGUCCAUUAUUCAUCUCCCUUCGUUACACGCACGGCAUUCUUGCAGGGUGACUCGCCUAAAUGGCUGUGCAACCCUUUUUCAUCGCAGAGCGUGCACCGCCGGAAUAUUUUAACUGACGUUUCUGGAUCAAAAGAUGAUGAUGCAGCAGCAUCAAUCCACGCUCCUUUCAGUUCCAAAUCAUAAUUGAUGUGCGUCGUCAAGCACAAAUCGCUUGAUAGAAUUAUAAAAAGAAAGAAGCAACUACCGCUCCUCCGGCCGCAAGAAACAUCACGGGGAAAGGAAUAUUUCACCAUAUGCUGCACGACGACGAUAUAAUUUACGGCUUUUGCGUUUUAACUGCGGAGCGCGUCUCUCUCCCGCUGGUGUGACAAACUGCACCUUUUCUGCCGAGAGAUAGGAAAAAGAACGCGGCACGCACCACCCAUGGACAAGAUUUGUGGCACCCUGUAAUUUAUUGUGGAAUGUAAAACAGCCUCGGUGUACAAUAAUGGAGCUAUUAACAAAACACAUUAGUUUGAUAAUAUGAGAAGCGUCUUCUCGCUUGAAAGAAGCUCGAUUGUUGCACGCCUCGAUGGGCAACCCCCCGCAUUUCUGAACUACUGCAGGUGUAAUGCACAUUAUUGUGUCAUUGAAAGGGAUCGCCUUUUGCGUGCCACCAACAGAGUGAGUCGGCAGCAUUUCCCCCGAUUCAACCAAAGGGUUGCACACUUUAUUGGUUUUAAAUAAACCCAGACGGAGAAAUAUACAAUUUUGACUCAGCAUUUUUUUUUUCCAUUCAAUGCGUUCAGCUUUUGGCGGAAAAGGGUGCGAUUUUAUAACCAGGGGCUUCACUCGCUUUUCACGUGUCAUUGGACACUUUGAAUGCGAAUUAGAGGAGACCAAUUAUUGGAGUUUUGUUUGCGCAGUUUGAUUAAUGGGUCUUUUCGAUUGACAUUUUUAUGUGUAUGCUCUUUAGUUCCUUUUGCUAAUGCCCUCGCUGUUGCGCACUUUUUUACUUUGAAACGUGAAUCGCUUUUUGAACGUUGCAAAUCCGCUAUGGUUUUGACAAUUACAUGGCAGCACGAGUUUCAUUUAAAAAAAGUAUUUAAGUAAGUUUAGAAAUUUGUUUAAAAUUUAUAUAAUUA